rnacentral:rRNA from 1 species
AUUGAACGCUGGCGGCAGGCCUAACACAUGCAAGUCGAACGAGUGGCGGACGGGUGAGUAAUGUCUGGGAAACUGCCUGAUGGAGGGGGAUAACUACUGGAAACGGUAGCUAAUACCGCAUACCAUCAGAUGUGCCCAGAUGGGAUUAGCUAGAUGGUGGGGUAACGGCUCACCAAGGCGACGAUCCCUAGCUGGUCUGAGAGGAUGACCAGGCACGAUGGAACUGAGUCAAGGUCCAGACUCCUGCGGAAGGCAGCAGGGGGGAAGAGUGCAAAAUGGGCGAAAGCCUGAUGCAGCCAUGCCGCGUGGAUGAAGAAGGCCUUCGGGUUGUAAAGUACUUUCAGCGGGGAGGCGUUACCCGCAGAAGAUGCACCAGCUAACUCCGUGCCAGCCGCCGCGGUAAUUC